UCUCAGAACCAAAACAUGCUUGAUAGAAUGAACACUGCUAGCUGCACUUCCAACCUCCUAUAAGUAAGUCCUAUAAGUAAGAAUUGGUAUUAAAUGCUGUGGCCGGUAGGACAAAAGUGCAUUUUUCAGUCCAUCAUAUGUAAGGUUUGUUUCAAUUUGUAGGGUGUGAUUCUUUCAGGCUAGACACUGUAGGGCAUGUCUAUAACUUGAGUCUUCAUAGCACAUAGGCAGCCUUCUAACGUGUCCUCUUGUACCCUAGUAAAGGAGACUAGAAGUAUAUGUGGCUGGCCAUUUUAUGUAAGCAC